CCUACGGGAGGCAGCAGUGAGGAAUUGUUCGCAAUGGGCGAAAGCCUGACGACGCAACGCCGCGUGGAGGACGAAGAUCUUCGGGUUGUAAACUCCUGUCGUGCGGGAAGAACGGCGCGCCGGUCAAUACCCGGCGCGCGUGACGGUACCGCAAGAGGAAGCCCCGGCUAACUCCGUGCCAGCAGCCGCGGUAAUUCGGGGGGGGCGAGCGUUGUUCGGAUUUACUGGGCGUAAAGGGCUCGUAGGCGGCCACCUGUGUCGGUUGUGAAAUCCCCCGGCUCAACCGGGGAACUGCGACCGAAACUGGGCGGCUCGAAGCCGGGAGAGGGAUGCGGAAUUCCAGGUGUAGCGGUGAAAUGCGUAGAUAUCUGGAGGAACACCCGUGGCGAAGGCGGCAUCCUGGACCGGUCUUGACGCUGAGGAGCGAAAGCUAGGGUAGCAAACGGGAUUAGAUACCCCGG
rnacentral:rRNA from 1 species